GAUGAACGCUGGCGGCGUGCUUAACACAUGCAAGUCGAACGGGAAACCUUUUAUUGAAGCUUCGGCAGAUUUAGCUGGUUUCUAGUGGCGGACGGGUGAGUAACGCGUGGGUAACCUGCCUUAUACAGGGGGAUAACAGUCAGAAAUGACUGCUAAUACCGCAUCAGCGCACAGGAUCGCAUGGUCCGGUGUGAAAAACUCCGGUGGUAUAAGAUGGACCCGCGUUGGAUUAGCUUGCUGGUGGGGUAACGGCUCACCAAGGCGACGAUCCAUAGCCGGCCUGAGAGGGUGAACGGCCACAUUGGGACUGAGACACGGCCCAGACUCCUACGGGAGGCAGCAGUGGGGAAUAUUGCACAAUGGGGGAAACCCUGAUGCAGCGACGCCGCGUGAAGGAAGAAGUAUCUCGGUAUGUAAACUUCUAUCAGCAGGGAAGAUAGUGACGGUACCUGACUAAGAAGCCCCGGCUAACUACGUG
rnacentral:rRNA from 1 species